rnacentral:rRNA from 1 species
UACAGAGGGUGCAAGCGUUAAUCGGAAUUACUGGGCGUAAAGAGCUCGUAGGCGGUGUGUCGCGUCGGCCGUGAAAACCUGCAGCUUAACUGUGGGCUUGCGGUCGAUACGGGCAUCACUGGAGUUCGGCAGGGGAGACUGGAAUUCCUGGUGUAGCGGUGAAAUGCGCAGAUAUCAGGAGGAACACCGGUGGCGAAGGCGGGUCUCUGGAGAGUUCCUGACGCUGAGGCACGAAGGCCAGGGGAGCAAACGGG